AACGGUCGAGUAACGCGUAAGCAACCUGCCCGAAAGCGGGGAUAAGCCACCGAAAGGUGGGGUAAUACCGCAUAUCUUCGCUUUGGACAUCCUGGGUGAAGAAAGAUUUAUCACUUUCGGAGGGGCUUGCGUUCUAUCAGCUAGUUGGUGGGGUAACGGCUCACCAAGGCGACGACGGAUAGCGGGUCUGAGAGGACGAUCCGCCGGACUGGGACUGAGACACGGCCCAG
rnacentral:rRNA from 1 species